rnacentral:lncRNA from 1 species
ACCAUGAGUCCAAAUGUAAUGAUGAUUUAGAAAUUUAAAGUGUGAAAGGAACAACGAGAAUAAUUACAUUGAUGUUGAAUAUUAGCAAAUCUUUAGGAGUCAGUUUAUGCAACUUUGCUGUAAUAUGCUUUCGGAAAUAACCCUACCUCAAUUAGGUCUUUUGAGGGUUGUAACGUGGCUUGGUUCGUGGUUAUUGAAAC